rnacentral:rRNA from 1 species
UACAGAGGUCUCAAGCGUUGUUCGGAUUCAUUGGGCGUAAAAGGGGUGUGUAGGUGGCGCCGUAAGUCGGGGUGUGAAAUUUUCGGAGCUUAACUCCGAAACUGCAUUCGAUACUGCGGUGCUUGAGGACUGGAGAGGAGACUGGAAUUCAUGGUGUAGCAGUGAAAUGCGUAGAGAUCAUGAGGAAGACCAGUGGCGAAGGCGGGUCUCUGGACAGUUCCUGACACUGAGACACGAAGGCCAGGGGAGCAAACGGG